rnacentral:lncRNA from 1 species
UUAUCAUUAUAGUAAUAUGAACGUGCAUACUACCGAUAAUUUGUAAACUUCCAUUUUCAAACUUGCCGCAAAAGACAAAGUCAACCAAGACAACCAUUUCCUUUUCUGAUUGAAAUCGCUGAUUCACCGGGAUUGAUAUCCCGCGUUCCCGUUUUUAAUACCAAUCACCAAGAAUCAUUUACCUUAGAGCAUUCACAUCCAUUCCACUAUAUUCUCACCCUAAAUUACACUAAAAAACACUACAUUUUCUCUCUCCUUUUCAAUUAAAUAAUAUUUUUUAUACCUUUAUCAUUACAUUUUCUCUCUCCUCCACUCACAACCACUUUCAAAAUAUAUUAAAAAAAUUAUAGGGGCGGAACAGAUGAACAGUAACAUUUUCUCUCUCCUCCACUCACAACCAUUUUUUAUACUCUUCAUAUUUUAAAAACACCACACACAUAAUAUGAUUCCUUGGAUGUGAAUGCUCUUAUAUUUUUCGGAAACUUCAACUUGUUUCUAUAAAUUUCGAAUCAUGCCAAGACUAUAAAUACCAAGACCAUCAUCACUGUUUCACUCCCACACAACCUGUUCGAACACCACACCCUCAAAUACUCUCUCUGCCGCCGCCGGAGAAGUCGCCGUCGCCGGAGAAGUCGCCGUCGCCGGAUAAGAAGACCGGGACUUGCAUCUUCGCCGGAGCUGUACCAGGGUCACGCUGGAGUUACAUCGGCCUCGGGUCGGAAACACUACAAGUGGCCGGAGAAUCGGAGAAGACAACCGGAGUUUGGUCGGAGAUGCGAAGACGCCGCCAACUCGUUACGUAUUCGGUUGAUAGUCAAGAUGAUGAAGCAAUCAAGUUAGGAUGGACUAGAUACCCAUUUUAGCAAUAAACUAUUUGUUUGAAUUUAUGUUUGAAUAUUCGAAACUUUGUAUUGCCCUUUAGAAUUUAAUAAAAUGAUUUAAUUCAUAUUGUCACAUUUAGUGUUAUGUUAUUUUGAGCAAUUUGUUCGUCUCAUCCUGAUGUUUCCGCCAUCGGUUGCGGUGUGACAACCACCUAGACCUCCAGUUCCGCAACCAGCACCUCAACCACGUUUCUCUCCUCCUGAGCAGGAAGAGAUACUCCAACGAUUAGAUCGUGUGGAGAGAGAGUUCGAGGAAGAGAAAAAGAGCCACCGAGGUUUCCUCAAGGGCUUGGCAAACCUACUAAAGGGCAAGAAGAAGAAACGUGAUCACUAGUCCUUAUAAACGUACUAAUGUAAUUUCUAUUUUGAAAUAAGUCCCUGCGUGGACACUUAUCGUAUUUUAGUCCCUACAUGGACUUAUCCGUUAAUCCCUACAAGGACACAUGUCGUGUACUAGUCCUUGUAUGGACCUGUCUUUUAUUUAACCAUUAUAGAGGUAUGUGCUUGUUUUAAAGACCCGUUUAGGACAGUAUGCAGUUGUAAUUGCAAUUAUGGAAUGUUAU